UACGUAGGGGGCAAGCGUUGUCCGGAUUUACUGGGCGUAAAGAGCGCGUAGGCGGCCACGCAGGUCCGUUGUGAAACUGGAGGCUACAACCUCCAGCUGUCGACGGAAACCGUAUGGCUAGAGUCCGGAAGAGGAGAGUGGAAUUCCUGGUGUAGCGGUGAAAUGCGCAGAUAUCAGGAGGAACACCCGGUGGCGAAGGCGGGUCUCUGGGCCGUAACUGACGCUGAGGAGCGAAAGCAUGGGGAGCGAACAGG
rnacentral:rRNA from 1 species